rnacentral:rRNA from 1 species
GCAAGCGUUAUCCGGAAUUAUUGGGCGUAAAGGGCUCGUAGGCGGUUCGUCGCGUCCGGUGUGAAAGUCCAUCGCUUAACGGUGGAUCCGCGCCGGGUACGGGCGGGCUUGAGUGCGGUAGGGGAAACUGGAAUUCCCGGUGUAACGGUGGAAUGUGUAGAUAUCGGGAAGAACACCAAUGGCGAAGGCAGGUCUCUGGGCCGUUACUGACGCUGAGGAGCGAAAGCGUGGGGAGCGAACAGGAUUAGAUACCCUGGUAGUCCACGCCGUAAACGGUGGAUGCUGGAUGUGGGGCCCGUUCCACGGGUUCCGUGUCGGAGCUAACGCGUUAAGCAUCCCGCCUGGGGAGUACGGCCGCAAGGCUAAAACUCAAAGAAAUUGACGGGGGCCCGCACAAGCGGCGGAGCAUGCGGAUUAAUUCGAUGCAAACGCGAAGAACCUUACCUGGGCUUGACAUGUUCCCGACGAUCCCAGAGAUGGGGUUUCCCUUCGGGGCGGGUUCACAGGUGGUGCAUGGUCGUCGUCAGCUCGUGUCGUGAGAUGUUGGGUUUAGUCCCGCAACGAGCGCAACCCUCGCCCCGUGUUGCCAGCGGAUUAUGCCGGGAACUCACGGGGGACCGCCGGGGUUAACUCGGAGGAAGGUGGGGAUGACGUCAGAUCAUCAUGCCCCUUACGUCCAGGGCUUCACGCAUGCUACAAUGGCCGGUACAACGGGAUGCGACAGUGCGAGCUGGAGCGGAUCCCUGAAAACCGGUCUCAGUUUGGAUCGCAGUUUGCAACUCGACUGCGUGAAGGCGGAGUCGCUAGUAAUCGCGAAUCAGCAACGUCGCGGUGAAUGCGUUCCCGGGCCUUGUACACACCGCCCGUCAAGUCAUGAAAGUGGGCAGCGCCCGAAGCCGGUGGCCUAACCCCUUGCGGGAGGGAGCCGUCUAAGGUGAGGCUCGUGAUUGGGACUAAGUCGUAACAAGGUAACCAAUCGA